AGAGUUUGAUCCUGGCUCAGGAUGAACGCUGGCGGCGUGCUUAACACAUGCAAGUCGAACGAAGCACUUUAUUUGAUUUCCUUCGGGAUUGAUUAUUUUGUGACUGAGUGGCGGACGGGUGAGUAACGCGUGGGUAACCUGCCUUGUACAGGGGGAUAACAGUUGGAAACGGCUGCUAAUACCGCAUAAGCGCACAGUACCGCAUGGUAUAGUGUGAAAAACUCCGGUGGUAUAAGAUGGACCCGCGUUUGAUUAGCUAGUUGGUGGGGCAACGGCCUACCAAGGCGACGAUCAAUAGCCGACCUGAGAGGGUGACCGGCCACAUUGGGACUGAGACACGGCCCAAACUCCUACGGGAGGCAGCAGUGGGGAAUAUUGCACAAUGGGCGAAAGCCUGAUGCAGCGACGCCGCGUGAGCGAAGAAGUAUUUCGGUAUGUAAAGCUCUAUCAGCAGGGAAGAUAAUGACGGUACCUGACUAAGAAGCACCGGCUAAAUACGUGCCAGCAGCCGCGGUAAUACGUAUGGUGCAAGCGUUAUCCGGAUUUACUGGGUGUAAAGGGAGCGCAGGCGGUGCGGCAAGUCUGAUGUGAAAGCCCGGGGCUCAACCCCGGUACUGCAUUGGAAACUGUCGUACUAGAGUGUCGGAGGGGUAAGCGGAAUUCCUAGUGUAGCGGUGAAAUGCGUAGAUAUUAGGAGGAACACCAGUGGCGAAGGCGGCUUACUGGACGAUAACUGACGCUGAGGCUCGAAAGCGUGGGGAGCAAACAGGAUUAGAUACCCUGGUAGUCCACGCCGUAACGAUGAAUACUAGGUGUCGGAGGCAUUGCCUUUCGUGCGUCGCAACGCAGUAGUAUCACUGGGAGUACGUCGCAGAUGAACUCAAGGAUGACGGGACCGCACAGCGUGAGCAUGUGAUAUCGAGCACGCGAGACUACAGUCUGACAUCUUCUGACGUACUAUCGUACUUCUCUUCGACGAAUGACAGUGGUGCAUGGUGUGCUCAGCCUCUGUCCUGGAUAUGGGUUAAGUCCCGCAACGAGCGCAACCCUUAUCUUUAGUAGCCAGCGGUUCGGCCGGGCACUCUAGAGAGACUGCCAGGGAUAACCUGGAGGAAGGCGGGGAUGACGUCAAAUCAUCAUGCCCCUUAUGACUUGGGCUACACACGUGCUACAAUGGCGUAAACAAAGGGAAGCAAAGCUGUGAAGCCGAGCAAAUCUCAAAAAUAACGUCUCAGUUCGGACUGUAGUCUGCAACCCGACUACACGAAGCUGGAAUCGCUAGUAAUCGCAGAUCAGAAUGCUGCGGUGAAUACGUUCCCGGGUCUUGCACACACCGCCCGUC
rnacentral:rRNA from 1 species